CUUCCAGACUUCUUCCUGCCACGAGCGACUUUACUCCAAACUUCUUUCGAACUUCGUCAAUAUCCGAGCUUCUCCAACAGCAGGACUUCUACAGUAACCAGACUCCAUCCAAGUUUCUACGACGGUCAACCACCUUUCGAAUUUCAUUCGAGCUCCUACAAGAGCCAGAUCCCAGCCGAACUUCUACAGCAGAUGGAUCCCAGAUGAAUUUUUACAAUGGAUGGGCUCCACCAGUCGGAUCUCUACUCCAAACUUCUAUUGCAAGUGAACAUCAUCCGAGCUUCUACAAUAAGAAGUCUUCAUUUGAGCUUCCACGGC
rnacentral:lncRNA from 1 species